rnacentral:ncRNA from 1 species
CCUUAUCAAGAGCGGCGGAGGAAACGGGUCCUGUGAAGCCGCGGCAACCGGCGUGCAAGCAAUGGUGCCAAUUCCCGCAUCGCGGAAAUAUCUGCGGUGAAAGAUGAGG